UACAGAGGGUGCGAGCGUUGUCCGGAAUUACUGGGCGUAAAGCGUGCGCAGGCGGCUUUGCAAGACAGAUGUGAAAUCCCCGGGCUCAACCUGGGAACUGCAUUUGUGACUGCAUGGCUAGAGUACGGUAGAGGGGGAUGGAAUUCCGCGUGUAGCAGUGAAAUGCGUAGAUAUGCGGAGGAACACCGAUGGCGAAGGCAAUCCCCUGGACCUGUACUGACGCUCAUGCACGAAAGCGUGGGGAGCAAACAGG
rnacentral:rRNA from 1 species